rnacentral:tRNA from 1 species
UCCCCAGUGGCUUAGAAGGUAAAGAACCUGCCUGCAAUGCAGGAGACUUAGGUUCGAUCCUUGGGUCGGGAA